CCUGGGGAGUACGCACGCAAGUGUGAAACUCAAAGGAAUUGACGGGGGCCCGCACAAGCGGUGGAGUAUGUGGUUUAAUUCGAUGCAACGCGAAGAACCUUACCAGGGUUUGACAUCCUGCGAAUCCCUUGGAAACUUGGGAGUGCCUUCGGGAGCGCAGAGACAGGUGGUGCAUGGCUGUCGUCAGCUCGUGUCGUGAGAUGUUGGGUUAAGUCCCGCAACGAGCGCAACCCACGUCUUUAGUUGCCAGCAUUUAGUUGGGCACUCUAGAGAGACCGCCGGUGAUAAACCGGAGCAAGGUGUGGAUGACGUCAAGUCAUCAUGCCCCUUACAUCCUGGGCUACACACGUACUACAAUGCUACGGACAAAGGGUUGCAAACUCGCGAGAGCUAGCUAAUCCCAUAAACCGUGGCUCAGUUCAGAUCGUAGGCUGCAACUCGCCUACGUGAAGGAGGAAUCGCUAGUAAUCGCAGGUCAGCAUACUGCGGUGAAUACGUUCCCGGGCCUUGUACACACCGCCCGUCACACCAUGGAAGUUGGCCACGCCCGAAG
rnacentral:rRNA from 1 species